UCUUCAUUUCGCACACUCUCGCCCGUCAGAGAGGCGAGAGAGCAUGGGAAAUGAAGAGA
rnacentral:pre_miRNA from 1 species